rnacentral:rRNA from 1 species
GACGAACGCUGGCGGCGUGCCUAACACAUGCAAGUCGAACGGGGUUAUUUCUUCGGAGAUAACUUAGUGGCGAACGGGUGAGUAACGCGUGAGAAACCUGCCUUUCAGUGGGGGACAACAGUUGGAAACGACUGCUAAUACCGCAUAAUGUUAUUUGAGGGCAUCCUCGGAUAACCAAAGAUUUAUUGCUGAAAGAUGGUCUCGCGUCUGAUUAGCUAGAUGGCGGGGUAACGGCCCACCAUGGCGACGAUCAGUAGCCGGUCUGAGAGGAUGAGCGGCCACAUUGGGACGGAGGUACGGCCCGGACUCCUACGGGAGGCAGCAGUGGGGAAUAUUGGGCAAUGGGCGAAAGCCUGACCCAGCAACGCCGCGUGAAGGAAGAAGGCCUUCGGGUUGUAAACUUCUUUUACCAGGGACGAACACAAUGACGGUACCUGGAGAAAAAGCAACGGCUAACUACGUGCCAGCCGCCGCCGUAAGAC